GUGGCGACUUCUGCGGUUUUCUUGUCCCCCGCCGUUUGUUUCGACCACGGAUCUUUUUGUAACAAGACGACAUCGUUCAUUCGUUCGUUCGUUCCUGCAUGGAACAACAUACUUGAAAUUUCUCCAUAUAACGUAAUGGACAAUCCUUUCGUUUCCCCGACAAAUUCACGAGCAUUAACGAUCGAUCAGCUGAUGGCAACUAAGUUCGUCGAGCCCCGAGAGAGCGAUGGCGACAUUGUUAAAAGUGAAACGAGAAAGAAGGAACGGACGAAGGAGAAAGGAAAAGGGAAAAACAAAAGGGAAGUAAAAAGAGGGAGAAAGAAAUUAUACGGAGUUAUAAUUACAAGGGCAACCUUCCUGGUUGAUUACAGAAAGCAGGCCAACAGGAAAUGGACCUUAUCGUGUCUUGGACCUUCUCCCUUCGACAGUCACGAUUACUAGCAAUGGCUUAAGAAAAUAGAAAAAGAGUAAAAUACGUAAAUGAAUCAUCAUAAGCAAGAAAUGUAGCACACAAAAAUGUGAUAAAGAAUACGUAAAUAAAUCAUCGGCGAACCUGGAUGAGAAUAAUCUUAUCUGAAUACUUUACGGCAAUUAAUAGGAUUCACAUCAUUUACUUAUUCUUAAAAUGCCAAAAUUUUAUGGACAAG